AUUAAAAAAGGCGACAUAAUAAUUUCCCGACAAUAUAAGAUUUUCUUUUUCCUUCCCUAACAGGGGAUUGCUGGCACCACUUGACUUCCUCCCCUGCACCGGGAAAGACACUUCCAGAGCCGCCGCGAGGCCUCUCCACCGCCGGCGCAACUCGGCCUCGCCGCCGCUUUUCACUUCACUCCUCGUCUCUCCUCAUAUGACUACUCCCUUAUCCCCAAUUUCCCCCCAAUCAAAUCAGAACGCCCCCAUAUAAUCAGAGCACCCGAUUCAAUCAAUUCCGCUCCGCCGCUUAUGUGCAAAUCGAAAAUGUCGGUCGGCGCCACCCAACCCGUCAGAUCCCCGAGGCCUCCCAGAACCCCCAAUCAGUACCCCUCCGAUCGCUCUUCCUUCGACCCCGCGUCGAGCUCCGGCGAAGCAGGCGGCGCCUAUUACACCUCCACCUCCACCUCCACCUCCACCUCCGGCGGCGGCUACAAGCUCUCCCUCUCUGGGUCGUCCUCCUCCGCCGCUGCCUCGUCCAGCCGCGCCUCGCUCUCCAGCCUCCGCCAAACCCUCCCCGAGAAUGUCGCCAUCUACGACCUCUCCGAGCUCCGAUCCGCCACCAACAACUUCCUCUCCGCCCGCCGCUCCUCCUCCUCAUCCUCUUCCUGGCGGUGCUCCCUCCGCGGCAAGGACGUGAUCGUCUUCCAGCGCAAAUUCAGGCGGCGCCGCCUCGCCCCAGACCAGCUGCGGGACCUGCUGGGCGCCCUCUCCAAGAGCCACCUCGCCAAUAUCGCGAAGCUCCUCGGCGCGUGCGCCUCGGGGGAGGACAUCUAUCUCGUCUACGAAUUCGUCGCCGGCGCGUCCCUCUCGGAAUGCCUGAGGAACCCGAAGAACCCGAGCUUCACCGUGCUGAAGACGUGGAUCUCACGUAUGCAGGUCGCCACUGACGUUGCCCACGCGCUCGACUACAUCCACAACAACACGGGACUCAGCAUCAAUCUCGUCCACAACCACGUCAAGAGCAGCAGCAUUGUGGUCACUGAGCCCAACUUCCAAGCCAAGCUCUGCCAAUUCGGGGCCGCCCAGCUGUGCGGCGAGAUCGAUGAAAACGGCGUCGUCCGCCCGGGCGAGAUCAGCGAGGAGGGGGAGCCAUCCCCUUCAACUUCCAGUGAGCUGGCCCGGUCCAAUAGUCGGGUCAUGCAGUUCCAGGGCGUCCGCGGUUACAUGUCUCCCGAGUUCCGAGCCAACGGGAUCGCGACCCAGAAGGCCGAUGUGUAUGCCUUGGGGGUUGUGAUGCUGGAAUUACUGUCCGGGGAAGAGCCGUUCAAGUACAGGUACGACAAGGCGAAGGGGGAUUUCAUCAGGACGUCGAUAAUCGAGACCGCAAUGACGGCGGUCGAGAAUGGGAAGGCAGAGGGGAGGCUGAGGCAGUGGAUAGACCGGAGGCUCGGGGACUCGUUCCCGGUGGAAGCAGCGGAGAAGCUGAUCCGCCUGGCGUUAGAUUGCGUCCAAGUGGACCCGAACAGGAGGCCCGACAUGAGCCGGGUCGCAGGCAAGGUUUCCAAGCUGUAUGUACAGUCGAAGACUUGGUCGGACAACCUUAAAGUUCCGACUGGCAUUUCAGUGUCAUUGGGCCCAAGGAGAUACUGAAAUUCAUAAUCAUAUGGGAUCUUCUCCACGCUGACCAGCUGGGCCUGUCCACUGUUGCUGUUGUGCCCUCUGAAGCAUUCCACCAGCGAUUUCCUCAGUGUCCCUGAGGUAGGCAGCUGCUGGCACACCCACUCGACCAGUGAUCCCGACCCAGCUUCCGCCAGGAAGUCGGACCCGUUCCUGAGCAGAGGCUCGGGAAAUGCAAUCUUCUUUGAGCUGGUGACGACGAUUGAGGCCUGCAGUCAUAUAAUGAAGUAAGAAAUGAAGACUCCAGGAAAUCUUUUACAGAAAUGGUCUCAGUUUUCCGUUUUCUCUCGAGGAAAAGGGGCACUCUUGCAGGUCUAUUUGCGCCAGAAUUUAAGAUAUCAUAUUGUCGGAAGUAAGUAUGGGCAAAAGUGAUCGGUUGGUGGCCUAUACACGACAGCUGUGAAGAGUUCUGGUCGGUUAACUUACAGCAGGGGAGGAACGAGUCCCGCAACACAGAGCGAACGUGAUAUUAGGAUCCACAGAUUCGAGCCCGUACAGUUCACGAACCAUGGCUUCUUUACUACCACUGUCCUUCUCGCCUUUCCAGUGAAUCUGCCAAGGAAAUGAAAAUAAAGUCGAUUUCAAUUUUAUACACAAAA